GUGCCCGCUUCAGCAGCACAUAUAUUAAAAUUGGAACAAUAUGGAGUAGAUUAGCAUGGCCCCUGUGCAAGGAUGGCACGCAAAUUCGUGAAGCGUUCCAUAUUUUU
rnacentral:snRNA from 1 species